rnacentral:rRNA from 1 species
AGCGAACGCUGGCGGCAGGCUUAACACAUGCAAGUCGAACGCCCGGGCAACCGGGAGUGGCAGACGGGUGAGCAACGCGUGGGAACGUGCCCUUUGGUUCGGAAUAACUCAGGGAAACUUGAGCUAAUACCGGAUACGCCCCGAGAGGGGGAAAGAUUUAUCGCCGAAGGAUCGGCCCGCGUCCGAUUAGCUAGUUGGUGAGGUAAUGGCUCACCAAGGCGACGAUCGGUAGCUGGUCUGAGAGGAUGAUCAGCCACACUGGGACUGAGACACGGCCCAGACUCCUACGGGAGGCAGCAGUGGGGAAUAUUGGACAAUGGGGGCAACCCUGAUCCAGCCAUGCCGCGUGAGUGAUGAAGGCCUUAGGGUUGUAAAGCUCUUUCGGCGGGGACGAUAAUGACGGUACCCGCAGAAGAAGCCCCGGCUAACUUCGUGCCAGCCGCCGCCGUAAUAC